rnacentral:rRNA from 1 species
UACCAGCACCCCGAGUGGUCGGGACGAUUAUUGGGCCUAAAGCAUCCGUAGCCGGUCCUGCAAGUCUUCCGUUAAAUCCAGCUGCUCAACAGAUGGGCUGCGGGGGAUACUACAGGGCUAGGAGGCGGGAGAGGCAAGCGGUACUUUAUGGGUAGGGGUAAAAUCCGUUGAUCCAUAGAAGACCACCAGUGGCGAAGGCGGCUUGCCAGAACGCGCUCGACGGUGAGGGAUGAAAGCUGGGGAGCAAACCGG